AACAUAUUCAAAACUAGAGUGCAAGAUUUAUGUAAAACCACAGCAUUUUUGUUCAUGAUCUGCUACACUGCAUGGCAGAGAGGCUGCAACAUAAUAAUAAGCAAGUAGUACUCUUAGGAUAAGUUUAGUCCCGGGAUCUGUACAUGGCUUUCAUCCCACGCCAUGUCUUGUGACUUGAUUAUUCAGUCCUGGGUUGAGGCAGAGAAAGGGACUGAGCAGGGUGUUGUCUAGUUGUGUGGAAGCCGCAGCGUUUUUUGCCAGCUCUUUCAACUCGAGUGAAUGUGUGGUGCCUAUCACCGCAGGUCAUGGGGUGCUCUCCACUCCGUUGUUGCUGGGUUAGCUGCUGUGGUGGUGAAG